CUGCUAUCUCUUACCCAUGUCUUUUGAGUACCUUCGUUUCCUCGGCGGGUCCGCCCGCCGAUUGGACAAUUUAAACCAUUUGCAGUUGCAAUCAGCGUCUGAAAAAAACUUAAUAGUUACAACUUUCAACAACGGAUCUCUUGGUUCUGGCAUCGAUGAAGAACGCAGCGAAAUGCGAUAAGUAGUGUGAAUUGCAGAAUUCAGUGAAUCAUCGAAUCUUUGAACGCACAUUGCGCCCCUUGGUAUUCCAUGGGGCAUGCCUGUUCGAGCGUCAUUUGUACCUUCAAGCUUUGCUUGGUGUUGGGUGUUUGUCUCGCCUCCGCGCGUAGACUCGCCUCAAAACAAUUGGCAGCCGGCGUAUUGUUUUCGGAGCGCAGUACAUCUCGCGCUUUGCACUCAUAACGACGACGUCCAAAAGUACAUUUUUACACUCUUGACCUCGGAUCAGGAUAGGGAUACCCGCUGAACUUAAGCAUAUCACA
rnacentral:rRNA from 1 species